UUGUUCAGUAUCCAUGAAACAUUGUGGGUUACAAUCAAAGUUCAUUACAACAGUACACACUAUUUCCUCUUUCGUUCCACUUUAGUUCUCUCAUUUUUUUUGGCGGUGGACCCCUCCUCCUUGCAAGUCUGCCUGUACCCUCGCUCUCACUGAUUGAACCAUCAUUUAGCUUCUUUGUGGCGUAUUCCCACAACAGAGCUCCGUAGCGUCUACGGUGUUUGUUAAUAUCAUUAAGAUCCUCCUUUGGUAUAGAUAAAUCACCAUUGCUAAUAUAUUGCGCAAAUGCAGCAACAAAUACACCGCAAUCCCUGCAGAUUAUGAGUAAUUUUCAUUAAAUACC
rnacentral:lncRNA from 1 species